UUCUGACCCUCGGUUGUGAUGCCCAUCUGCGGGGCCCUGACGCACUUCCCCGGCGCCAGGUCUUCAGCGGAUGGGGAUCAGAGCCCAGUGGUCCGGCCCG
rfam:Microbacterium sp. 67-17 scnpilot_p_inoc_scaffold_158, whole genome shotgun sequence.